UACGAAGGGGGCUAGCGUUGUUCGGAUUUACUGGGCGUAAAGCGCGCGUAGGCGGGUCGUUAAGUCGGGGGUGAAAUCCCGAGGCUCAACCUCGGAACUGCCUUCGAUACUGGCGACCUAGAGUCCGGGAGAGGUGUAUGGAACUCCUAGUGUAGAGGUGGAAUUCGUAGAUAUUAGGAAGAACACCGGUGGCGAAGGCGAUACACUGGCCCGGUACUGACGCUGAGGCGCGAAAGCGUGGGGAGCAAACAGG
rnacentral:ncRNA from 3 species